GGCACCAUAGCUUAGCUGGUCAAAGCGCCUGCCUUGUAAGCAGGAGAGCCUGGGUUCGAGUCCCAGUGGUGCCU